AAUAAACCGUUGAAAAAGAAGAGUAAGCGUUCCAUGCAAUAUUUCAGAGAGCCGCCGUUGGUGGGAGUGCGGUAUAAAGCUGAUCGCUGAAUGGACUUUUGAGGGCGGCCCCGAACCAUUGUUUCAGUAGGGGCUGACGGAGACCACAACCGUUAUGUAACGUGGCAUAUAUGUUGGUAUAUGAAAAGUGGGCUUUUAUAAAGUCAAUUUGAGUGGCACCGCGGAUUGUUUGAUUCGUCUCAAGU
rnacentral:ncRNA from 1 species